UUUCAAUGUGCUGGUGUGCAGAUUACAGAAAGAUUGGGAAGCUGAGAGGUUUAUUAUUUACAGAAGGUGGACAGUAGAGUCUAUUGCUCUAGGAAAACAUACAGGUCACAGCAGCAGCCUAUCCAACAUUAAUGAAUCAUGGCAAUGGCAGUGACCUUGAGAAGUCAUCCAUCUCAUGCACCCUGUGUUUCUGCACCGGUUUGUGUCUCACAAACAUCCCUGGGCAGAACGAACCUGUCUGACAUGUGCUGGGUGAGAUCCUGGGAAGGAGGGCCUACAGUCUCCCCUCGUCCUCCUGGCCAGUGAUCAUCUGGUGAUCCUGAGUGGUCUUAGCAUGCAUCACAAUCACACUGGGCUCAUUUUAUUCAUUGCUGCCUGAUUGUUGGAAUACUUUCAGAGUUUAAAUUUUUCUGUCUUUUGGAAAGAAAGCCAAAGUUAAACUCUAGCAAAAUAAAAGGUCUCAUCUGUGCACAAUAUACGGAGUGGUAGAUUGUCCCAGGUGGACUAGAUCACCUUUCAGUAAACUAAUACUGCUGAGAUCCAUUAAAGCAGUGGGGGGCUGCCAAGUACUCACAUCCUAGACUCAUCAACUUGUUUUUUUGCUGACCACUUAGUCAGCAAGAGCAAUGUGAUAAGUCCUGGAUGAUAAACAUGGUUCUUUUGCAGAGACAAAAUGGGGCACAGCAGAGAAGAACAAAUAUUUCAGAUGAGAAAAAUAAAUGCUAGGAGCAAGGUCCUUUCAGAUCCAUGAGCAUCUCAUUUUCUAUAUAGGAACUUGGGCAUGGGGGCAUUUAAAAAAUGUCCCACCAGGCCCUUAGCCUCAGACACCUGCAAGUCUGCAGAACAUCUCAGGGGAAACCCUUGACUCUAUGGCAUGUUAAGGGCAUAUUUCAGUACUUGUUUAAUAGAGUAGAGACAUUUGUUGCAAUGAAAUGCAGAUCUGCUAUUCAUGUGAAUUUAUUGUGCUGCUAUAGCAUCUUUAUUAUUUCCUAUAAAAUACAAUCUGAUUUAAAAAUAACUGGUCCUGUGACACUUACAAGGUUGAAUCUGAUGGGAUGUCCAUUGCAGAUGAAUAGCCCUGUAAAUAAUUUAUGUCUUUUGUCACUUAUGUGUGGAUUCUCUUAGAUCUACAGUAAUUAGCAAUAAGUUCUGGAGUAAACUAGUGAGUGAAAGUACCAGAAAGUCAUGUAGGUUAGUGAGUUCUAUUGAUUCUUUAAAAUAAUUUUACAGUAAUGACUAUGGGAAAAAAGCCAGAGUUUUUCCAAGUCUGAUUAAUAGCUGAUUUAAUUCAUAAGCCUCAAAGCCCAAAGCAAAGAUUCAUUUGUUUUCAGUUCUGUUUAAUGUUUUUUGGAGCAUUGAAGCUUGGAUAGUUUAUUUAAAUGAGGUACAUUUAUGAUUUUUAAUAUGAUUGCCCUCCAAUUUACACAGAAAGUAAUAUAUUAUAUUCAAAGAUGCAGGAUGAGUGAGUAGUACUGGCUAUGAAACAAAAGAAGGUAACCUGGAUUCCAUACUGGGUGUCAGUUCUCUACUAACAAUGACAUAAUCAAGUCACUUAGAUUGCAAGGAAUAGAAAUCUACUCAGACUGGCUGAAACAGACUGGGAAUUUACGACCAGGUUACUGGGGGGUAGCUGAUGGAACCAAGGAAAGAAAUGUGGUCAGGCCUCACUGGAGACUAAAAUAGGGACUGGAAACUGGUCAUGAGCUGGUGUUAUUUUUGUUGUCCUUCCAGGGGUGUACAGUCCCCUGUCUCACCACUGCUUCUGUCUAUAGACUUUCUCUUCUUCAGUGAGAAUAUGUAGCCAAACAUGGUUGCCUUCGUUUUAGAUUUAUAUUAGUUACCAUUUCAAGAAAUACCAACCAACUAGCUGAAACAGUGAUUCUUAAUUCCAAAUUCCUGGAGAUAGACUCUGAUUGGCUCAGCUUCUCAGGUGGCAUAUGGACAAGAGGACAGGGUAGUUCAGCGCCAGAAGGGCACUGGGGGGAAAGUUCCAAUUUUGCCUAAGAUAUUUUUUGUUAUCCCUCUUCCCUUACCUGCCUCUCUUCUUCUGUGAGUAUUACAAUAUUCACAUUUUUAGAGCAGUUACUUCCAAAGAUGCAGAAGAGAAGAUACUGAAGAUGUUUCAGGCAGAGGAAACGGCAAGAAUGAGAAGCAGCACAGUAUGCUGAGUGAAAUGCAUCCAAUCAAUCCUAGUCUGAGGAUCAAGUGGGGAGUGGGAAUGGCAGGGAAAGGAAACUUGAGGAGCAAGUGGUUUGGAGACUCUGCUGAGAAUCUAGGACUUUAUCUUGAAGGCCAUGGGUGUAUUUGUUUGUCUGCCUUUUAUUCCCCCAGGGAGUUGGUCAUUGAAGGAUUUUAAGCAGAAACUGACAGAAUUUGUAUUUUCAGAAGCUUACUUGGGCAGAAGUUUGAAGAAUGUGUUGGAUGGAGAAGGGCAAGAAUAGAGGCAAAGACAUCAUUUGAGUGUCUCAGGUGGGAGAUAAGGGCCUGAACUAGGGCGCAAUGGUGAAAGGAAGGGACAAGUUUGAGGAAUAUUAAGGAGGUAGAGUGGGCAAGACUUGCUGAUUGAAUGGCUGUGAAGGGAGGAGAAAGGAAUCAAAGACAGUCCUAAUUUCUACCUGGGAAACUGGGAAGAUAGGGUGGGGCAUGAACUGAGUUGGAAUGUAGAAGCAGGCCUGAGUAGAAGACGAUGAAUUCAGAAUUGGACAGUUGAGUUUGAAGUAUCUGUGGAACACCUAAAUAGAUACUUCUUGCAUCUGAGUCUGAAACCUGAAGAUCAGUGGUAGUUAGAAGGUUGAGAAUAUAUGCAGUCACCCCAGGAGAGCAUGCAGAGAAGGAAUGCUCAGGCUAGGGUCCAUUAAUAGGUUCCAGAGUUUCUUUCUAAUGAAUGCUCUGAUUAAGUAUAAAAUUUUGUACAUAUGUACUGGUGAUGGGCAUCAGGAAAGGGUCCACAGCUUUUAUCAGAUUCUCAAAGGGGUCCAUGAAUCAUAAAAUGGUUAAGGAGCUUUGGUAUAGAGCAUACAUUCUGGAAGGGGGCAGUAUUUUCUCCCAAGAGGGCAAAAACUGGUUCUUAGAGGGCAAAAAAAUCUUACUCUUUUUAUGUGUAAAGUGCAGAUAUACAUACAGUACAUAAACGUACACGGUAUGUCUGGGUUAUUAAAAUUUAUAGGGGUGAUAAGAAAGAAAAUGUCUUAAAGGGCUCCUUAGGGAGGUGAUAAUGGAUGAAAGGGUGCGAAACAGUGGUAUGGACUGAGAGGAGCAGUGGGUUCUCAUCUUUUUUACUCUAAAAGCUGAGGACAAAAAGAAUCUAUUGUCUUUAUUGCUGACAGCAUUAUUGCUGUACCACCUCUUCCUCUUUUCUAUUAUUGCAUCGCCAUCACCACGACCACACACAUAUCCAGUAUAUACCUUCUGAAAAGUUAUAUUACACUGAGCUAAGUUUACUAAGCGUACAGGGAAUAAAGGAAAAACAUUGCGUUUUUCAGAAAUGGGUCUUUUUUGUUAUUUCUGCUGCAACACUCCUUCAAGAUGAUGUACAUAACAGCUGUUAUGAAUAUCUAGAGUUAGAAGCACAUUUUAAAACCAAUCUUUUACAUUAAUAGAUGUGUCUACUUACCCUGUCUGCUGACUGAGAAAGAAAGCACCAUUUGUGAUCUGGGGUUGCUAGAAGCUUCCAAGAAUUAUUCUCCCUUGGGCCUUUUCUCUACCUCUUCUUCUAUAGUUAAUAAUUUCCUCCACUGAACGUCUAUCUGUUGAGCCUUCAUUGUGCACAUGACACCAGAUCUCAAUGGUGAGUAGCUUUACAGAAUUCAAAGAGGACCUAGUACCCUCUUUGAGGAGCUUGUCUUCCCCCAAAAAAGUAAAAGCGGCGGUUCAUUUCCGAGGCGAGACACUGCUGCAGUGUAAUGCCAGAAAUCACGUUCUAAGUCCUUUCUUUUCAAGAAAACCUGAGUCACUAUAAUGUCUCAAGAGGUUGCCACUUUGCUAUGUAAUGUAUUAUGUACAUUUCUAAUCUUAAUUCUUUUAUGAGUUGCUUAUGAAAAAAGAUGGUCAAAUUAACCAGAUUUCACUAAUCUUUCCGUUCUUUUAUUUUAAUGUGAAUUAUUGGCCACCCUUGGGGCCAGAGCUGAGAGCAGCAAGUUUUGGAAGGGGAAAGCAAGAUCAGCAGUUUUCUAGCCACUGUGGUUCAAGUCAGAAAUCGUUUGUCUGCAUUAACUCUUGUUCUAAAGUGUUCACAUUUUUAAACAUCCAUGGGUGAAUGUAUUCAUAGGGUAACUUCUGCUUUGUGCACCUCAAGAAAACAGCUUGGCCCUGUGAACCUGUUGUGUUCAUCUUGAAGCCUUAUUAUUGAAAAUGGAGCUAUCAUCAGGUCUCCACAGUCAAGACAUUGAGAGCAUGCCACGUGUGCUAACCUAACCAAGGACCAAAUGCAGCAUAAUUGCAAUAGCAACAGUAUGGGAAUAUUAGAAGAAACUGAGCAUAUAUCACUGGAGGGAAAGAUCAUUCUUCUUUCCAUUCCUAGUGAAUGGUUAUAAAGCUGAAAGUUUUUUUUUUUUUCUAUUCUUUCAAAAAGGUCCAUAAGAUAGAUCACCAUUACAUUUAUCAUUCUUUUCUACUUUUUUUUUGUAGAAUCGAUCACAGUUGUGUGCUUAAAACUAUUUAGGAACAUUUUGAUGUUUAGCAACCUCCAAAUACUCAAUUUUAAUUACAUCUUCUGGUUUAAAUUCAUAAACCAAUAAUUCAGAAGCCAGGCCUGAAUGUAUACUCUUCAGUUCUGCCAUGUAAUGAAGUGUACAGCAUAUACGUGCUUUGUACGAUGUGCUUUGGGGACAGCUUUCCUUUUCAGACCCUGCUUUUUGUGUCAGCUGAUUGGCACCCGCAGUGCUGGGGAAAUGGAGUGGUUCCUUGGUGACUCCCAAUAGCUGUCAGGAUUAAUCUGUAGAUAGGAAAAGAUUUUCCUUGAAAAGAAGCUGGAGGAAACUGUCGAGCAAUGCCUGCAUAUCAUUCUAAGCAGACACUUAUUGCCAUGGUGGAGGCAAGGAAAGGGGACGCUUGUUUUGCAAAUUUAAAUUGUGAGCCUCUUCUUGACAAGUGAAAAAUCAGAUUCAGUGGGGUUUUAGAAAAUAUUUAAUUUGUAAGUUUUUUACAUUUUGGUAAAUCAAGCCUAUCCACUUAUGAAGCAGGUCCUAACUAUGAAGAACUAAAGUUGGCAUCUUUCUCAUCCUUAAGCACUAGAGAACCAGAUGCCUUACGGCAGCAGAAAUGAAAACCACAGUUCAACCUAACCUCUUCCUUUUGAGUGAGAGGUAUGCAGUUAACAUGGAGACGAAAAUCUCUUUUCUGUUGUUUCUUCUGAACCUUGUUUCUGGAAACCAACAGUUUUCUAAUUUGUAAGCAGUCUUUCCUUCCAUUUUUUUAAAAGCAUAAAUUUUUAAAAAUAAUUUAUCUGCAAGUUAUUCAUUAAGUAGGACACAAAAAUUGUACUUACGCAUUGACUUGGCCUUCAGGGAUUGGCUCAUCCGUUGUAGUAGCCUGUUACUCCUGUUAGUAUGGAUGGCAUAGUUGUAAGUGUGUCAGAUAUUUAUUACUUAUUUUUGUUCAGUUCUCGUAGCUGUGCACAUUAACCCCCAGGUCUAUGGCCUGCGACUUAUGGACAAAUGCAAGUUUAAGUUAAAAAAAGGAGGCGGGGAACUUAUGGCUCAGCAGCCAUCGCUGUCCUGGGCUGGCCAAGCAGUUAUAUAAUGUACUGAAACAUAGCCUUUGUAUUUAGCCUGGCUCAAAGCAUAGCCCUUGACUUCCUAGCUUGUGAGCUUGAGCAAAUUACUUAAACACUAUGAUUGUGCCUCAGUUUACUCAUCUCUAAAAUGGGGAUGGUGGUAGAGCCUACUUCAUAAGUCAUGAAGAUUUGACGAAUUAAAAUGGGUUAAAUGCUUAGUAUAGUGCCUGGCAUAGACCAGUGCUCAAUAAAUGUUAACUGCUUGCUUUUUUUCCUUGCCAUAAUUAUUAUAAUGUUAGUAUUGUGAGCCAUUUAACAUUAGCCUUGAUGUUAUAAGUGUUAUACUUUAGCAGUCCUAAGAACACCUUUAGAGGCUGGACUGCUCAGUCUCCCUCAAUUUCUGUUAUCAUAGGAUUUUGUUUUCCUAGCUCUUGAUUCAUUUACACAAAACUGGUACCUUACUGAAUGAUUUUGAGGAAUCUCUGGGAGAAGUCAUAGAACAGAGAGAAUUCAUAACCUCUCAAGAUCCACAGGACCUUGUCUUAUUCAUUAACCUAUUUGGCUUACUUUUUCUCCAGUCUGUGGUAUGUCAAUAUUUUUAUUUUAUCCUGUUAAGAGAGCUGGGGAAAAAAAAAAAAAGGUAAGGUUAAAGGAUUUGCACUAAGUUACCUGGGUUCGGUAGCAGAACUAGGCACAAAACCAUUUUGACUGCUAUUCGUGGAUGUGGUUUAUGACAUAAAAUCCUUCCACAGCUAAGGUAACAUGUGUGCCAUAUCACAUGAGCUGCCAAGGUCAGCCAAGGAAUAUUGCAAAGUGUUUUUAUCUUGUGGAAUGAACCACUUAAAUGUUAAAUCUAAAUAUUUUAUUAUAAAUAUUUAAAGCAAAUAACCAAUUUCCACUUAAUCAUAAAGCACAACUCUUGUUAGUCUUAAAGCAUUUGCAUGGAAAAUUACACAUCACUUUAAUAUAUUUUCUGUCUGCUUUUGUGUCCAUAUAAAAAUAACAAACCACAGAUGCAUGAUGACAUCAUCAUCACUGAACCAAAGAAGGAAGAAAAGGAAGUCAUUUUGUGAGCUGCAGAUGUAAACUGUUCCCUGUCAGUUAUAUUUGCCCAGAGUAUUCAUCAUAAGCAUAAUCAUGACAACAGAAUUAGGGAUUAUUACAUGUAGACUUUUCAGAGUUAGAGUAACUUUUUAAAAAAUAGAUGUUGAGGGCUUCCCUGGUGGCGCAGUGGUUGAGAGUCCGCCUGCCGAUACAGGGGACACGGGUUCAUGCCCCGGUCCGGGAAGAUCCCACAUGCCGCGGAGCGGCUGGGCCCGUGAGCCAUGGCCGCUGAGCCUGCGCGUCCGGAGCCUGUGCUCCGCAACGAGAGAGGCCACAGCAGUGAGAGGCCCGCAUACUGCAAAAAAAAAAAAAAAAAAAAAAAAAUGUUGAUGAAUCUUAUAGAGGUAAGCAGUAUACGCUUUCUCAUAGAAAUAAGCAGGAUAGUUUUGAUUUUUUUAAAAUUUUACUUUUAUCUUCUCUUAAAUCAUUCAGUUCUGUCAUUUCCAGGCCACUCUCUCCUAUUGCUGACACUCCCAUGAGUGAAAGCUGGACUUCAAUAUCAUCAUCUUUCUACAGAGGAAUGUUUAUCUCUCCUCUGUGAUGAUAUUUGCGCAACUAUGUCAUCAUACUGUCGUUAUUUAAUUCUGUUGUAUUUAUAAGCAAUUCUCCAACCUGCUGACGGUUGUCACUUAGAAACCUUACUAGUGUUUUUCCUUUCUUCUGCUAUACUCAUCAAAUCCUGCCACCUCAUUUGUGCAGCUGUGCACUGUCCCACCAGCAUUUGGCUACCUUAUAAAGGGAAGUUAAAAAAAAAAUACUGUUUAAUUGAGGUUUAUAUAUACCAAAACAUAAGCAUCUAGUUUCAUACGCUGUAUAACACCCCUGGAAUAUCCUUUGUCCUUUGCUCUUUAGGAGUAACUAUACUCCUCUAAGAAGUAAUUUCACAUAAAUAUUAUUUGCUUUGAUGAACUUUAACAGUCUUUUAAGAUUCUUGUAUUCUUAAGUGCAGUUCUUAUAAUUAUUACCUUUUGUUUAUCCACAUUGAUUCAUUCAUUUAGCAGGCAUUUGAGGAUACUCACUGCAUUCUCCUGGGCACUGUACUGGGUGCUUUGAAAAGGAAAAUGAACAAGAAAAGGUCUCUGUUUUCAGGAAGAUCAGAAUUCAGUAGGGGAGGCCGAAAAGCAAACACUUUAACUAUCAUACAAUGUGAGACAUGCUAUAAUAGAAGUUAUGUGAGCACUGAUGAGGGAGAAAUUACUGCUUCUUGGGAGAAGUCAGUACUCAUGGGAGACUACAUAAAGCAUGUAUCCUUUGAGCUGGGCUUUAUAGGAAAAGUAAGGGAGUAAGGGGAGAAAGUUAUUCCCAGGAGCAGAAACCACACUAGGAGGGCACAGACACCAGAAGUACAUUGAGGAAUGGCCCAUGAGUCAAACAUAGGGCAGAUGAUAGAAGUAGCUAGUGAUGGAGCCAGAAAAAUGAGUGCAGACACACUGAAGAAGUGGAGCAGCAGUCCAGUAAUCCAGAGCAGCGUUAACCCCAAAGUAAUUAAUCUUUGCUCUUGAAGUAUGUGUUUUUAUUUAUGCAUGACUAUAGGUGUUUAUUAUGAUUUAGACUAUCUAAUUCCCACCCUUAGCUAUACGUUAGAAUCUCUGCCUCAUUCUAAUUAAAUUAGAAUCUCUAAGGGUGGCAUCCAUAUAUUUUUUAAGCUCCCCAGGUGAUUCUGAUGGGCAGCCAGGAUUGAGAGCCAUGAAUUUAGACCCCCUCAACAUUUGAACAGGUAACAAGAAGACCUUGUCUCAUUAAAACUGGUAAAGGGAUACCCUUAAGUCAGAACCCAUUCCACCCAUAGGUUGAUAGGAAGCAGCAACCUCUACCUCUCUACUCAGAGCUCUUUCCCCUACAGCCUGUCUUUAAAUGUGCUCAAAUAACUUCCACUUACUAAUGAAUAAAACGGAUCCUUCUCUUGACUCUACAGUCUCCCUCUAGCCAUCAUCCUGUUGUUCUUCUCUUCAUAGCUAAGCCCUGUGCUUCCAUUUUUAUUUGUGCUCCAGCCAAGUGCAGUCAAGACUCAGUCCACUGCCCUGCCCACAAUUCUCCCAGGCUUCCUGGGUGUUGCAUUCCUACACUUUGCACAUGCUACUCUUCUCCCUUGAUUUUUCUUCUACGCACAUUUUUCCCUGGCAUCACCCACUCAUGUUUCAGUACUCAGCAAUCACAUCUGGGAAGCCUUCUCAAAUCUUCCCAGUCUGGAUUGGAUGCCAUUCCUUUGUGCUACUAUGCUAUUUUCUGUAGUAUUUGUAAAAUAAUAUUUAUUAAUAUAUAUUGUAAUUAUCGAUCUGCAUUAAAACAGUGGGCCUUUUAAGAAUUAACUGAUUCAUAUUUAUUUCCAUAUCUAGUGCCUAACAGUAUUCAGGAUAUAGUAGUUCCUCAAUAAAAACAUUGCUAAAUUAAUGAUGUCAAAUAUAGUCAUUUAAUAUUUUUGUGUACCUACUAUUCACUAGCUACCAAUUACUGAGCCCUUAGAAUGUGCCUGGUCAAGUACUGACCAACCACUUAAUACAUGUAUCAUUUAAGCCCCCCAAAGUUAGGUACUGUUACUUUCCCUUUUAUGGAUAAGGAAACCGAGGCUUUGAGAAGUUGUUUCAAAACUGAAUUGCUCUUUCCGGUGUCUUUCUUAAAUUGGUACUUCACACUUAAUGUGAACUGAGGGACUUCUUUAAUGUAGGCUGUAAAUUUUCUAAAGCAUAAUAUAUAAUCAUCCAAUUAUAUUUAUUUUGUAAAUUGGCAGUAUUACCAGUUGUCUCUGGUGUUUGACAAAGGACUUUUUUUUUAAAGAUGGGAUCCUGUGUGGCUUAACUAGUAAUUUUAUUUUCUUUUUGUCUAACAUUUAUACUUUUGCUAGCCCUUCAGUGAAAAUAGAGGAGCAACAAUUCGUUCUGUUUGGGAAUUAAGAGAGACCAAAUGAUUAAAAUCAACAGACCGAGCCACAGCCUCCAAUUCCCCAUCCUCUCUCCCCACCAAAGAACCUCUGGAGCCAAUAGUUUGAAUGCCCUCCCUCAUAAAUAGAAAAAUCGGCUAGUUCAACUUUCCCCCUCCUUUCCUUUUUCCUCCUCCCUGCUAAUGAGCAGUGAAAUGGCCUAAUGACUGGGACCAGAGGGAGGGGAGAGCAGAGAAGAAAGCCUGAGUAAUCCAUACACUGAAUUAUCAGCUCUGUGUAAGUGAGUUUUCUUUGACUUCCUUCUUUUUGGAGUUCAGCAUUUUCAAGUUACUGAGGGAUGCACUGUUUCUCCAGGCACUGAGAUGAGCCGUGUUUUCAGUUUCUGCCAUGAUGGUUUUGGUCCACCUGUGUGGGCUAGAAGGCUUGUGCUUCUGAUGGGACUCCAGAAAGGAAGCUGGGAGGACUCUGAAUGACACGGUUCCCUUUUCCACUGAGAGUCAAACACAGAAUGGCCUUUUCCUGCCCUUGUCUGUUUGACUGUGCGUGAUAGAGACUGGAGAGCAUUUGUGUGGCAGGAGCGGCCCUGGAAGAUAAGGAAGGUGCUGAGCAGAAUGUGAAUGCAGCCCAGCUUCACAUGAGCCCCAGAAGGGGAAAUAGCUGUUGGUGGUGAAGGGUGAACAUCUAUCCUGGUUUGCCUGAGACUGAGUGGCUUCCUGGGCUGUGAGACUUUCGGUACUAAAACCAACACGGUCCUGGGCCAACAUAGAUGGUUGGUCAUCCUGUGUGCCUAACUUAACUUUCCUUAGCUUAACAAAAAGUUCACAAUCAGUUGGAAAUUACUUCCUAUUAUCUUUAAAUCCUGACUCACUGAAUGAAAACAAACCAAAAACUUGAGAAUUUUCUUGGACUCCCUGGAGUAAGCAAUAAAAUUGAAUGGACCUUU